CAGUUUUCACUCUUUUCGAUUCUCUUGAUUUCGAUGUGCAUUUGGAGCUCGUUGAUCGCCAGCCUCUGGGCGGAGGAAAUCGAUUAUGCAGAGCUAAAGGAGAAAACCAUUUGCAUUGACGAUGGCAUGGGCCACAUGAUGUGCUACUAGGCUUCGGAAUUAAUUGAAAAUUUGUAUGUCCUAAAUAAGUAAUAAACGGAAUUGGGGUACUGCUUUCACAA